AAAGGCCAGGACAAUCGAAUACCUCCAUCGGUUACCGGCCGGGGCGUGAGGACCCUGGCGGGCGUUCUGGGUGAUUGUCAUCCUCGAAGAGCACCGGCCGUUCUUAUCGCGAGUGGGUCUGGGGUCCUGACUUAGGGAGUCCCUCGGCCUGCGUGCUGGUGACAGAUCAGGUGACUCUCGUUGUCACUUAGGGAAAGGCCGGCUGCGCGGCCCUGGGCAGUCGACUGAGGACACCAUCUGGCCCCGAGACCCCCUCAACCCGAGGGCAGGAGGCAUGGCCAGGGGGGACUAUGUGGCUGGUGCCUCAGAACAGCCAGGCCUGUGGUUCUCCUGAGGGAUUCAACAGCUGUUGGCACGAAGCCAUGCUCUGCAGCUUUCCCUCUUGGCCUUCUCAGUAUGUAGCAGGAAAUGCUGUCAUCCCACCGGCCAGUAUACUUCAGUUUGUUAGUCUGCCAGAUAAUAGUUCCUGUUCCAGUUCCACUUGCUUGUGUCUCUUAGAAGUGGCCAGUCACUGUGAUGCACAGCUUGUCACUAUGAUGCACAUUGUAUAAACCAAUCCCCAAUUGACAAGCCAUUCUGCUUUUGUACUUCCUGCUUGCUUAUCCAAUAUAAGCCCUAGACCACCAGAGAUCAGCGCCUGAUCAGGGCCUGAUCUCUAUCAGUGCCUGUUGUAAAUAAAUCUGCCUCCAAAUCCUG